UAAUGAUUAGAUUUUUAGGAGUUUUGUGAGCAGAUUGAUGUUUCUUUUGUGGUUUGAAAUAUGUCAUGCUGGGAGUAUUUACACCACAGGAAUUGGCAAAAGCUGUGCAUCAAGACUGUUAUUUUCUACCCAGAGAACUGGUUAUUAAAAAUUUGUUAGCACACCACUGACUUUCUCUGUGGGGUGAGUGGCUCAGCUACUUUUAAACAAGAGACAACCACUACUGUCAAACAAACCUGGUAUCUGAAACCAAAAGUUGAGCAUUCUGCCCCGUAAGCAAGGGAGGACUGUAUUGCUGAACACCUGAGUCUCUCUGAAGAAGCAAACUGCUGACUUUAUGUGGGGUUUUGAGAACUAUGAUCUUCAGGGGUUGGAGGAUUUUUGGAGCCAAGGAAGCUGUGUGUGUUCAGAGAGUGCUACAGGCAUUCAUCAUAUUCACAGACACCGAAGGAGACUUUCUAACAUUCACAAGUGUGUGCUGCCCCAAGGUCAGCGAAGGUCAUCCACAAAGCCAAUGUUGAAGGAAAAGUGAGGAUCAUGCUACCUAUGAGAUGAAGCCACCAAAUGGCCCCAAAUGUUAGCCUGGGCACACAUGAGGUCAUUUAUCUUCACUUCUACCAGUAAGAAUGUACAGUAAGUUUCCUCGCUGUGUUUCUAAGGGCUGUACUGAUUGUCUCAUAGAACCCCUGGGGGAGGAAAGAAAUCACAGUAGAGAAGCCACUUAUAAAACAUCAAGUGGCAUACUUGUUAUUUAUAAAGCUGCUUUUUCAUGCUCUGGCAUGUCUUUAAAAUUUUCAUGCCUGUAAUCCCAGCACUUUGGGAGGCUGAGGCGGGUGGAUCACAAGGUCAGGAGUUCAAGACUAGCCUGGUCAGCAUGGUGAAACCUUGUCUCUACUGAAAAAACAAAAAAUUAGCCAGGUGUAGUGGUGCGUGCCUUAAUCCCAGCUACUCAGGAGGCCUGAGACAGCAAUGAGGAACAUUGCUUGAACCCAAGAGGCAGGGGUUGCAGUGGGCUGAGAUUGUGUCAUGCACUCCAGCCUGGGUGACAGAGCAGAACUCUGUCUCAAAAAAAAAAAGUAAGAAAUUUCCUUCAGGGGCUAGGACUAGGUCCUGCCGGGGGUUGACUGUGGCCGGAGGAUGCAGCGUCUCACCAGUGAGAAUACUGUGGAGCUGCUGCUGUGAAUAAACAGGGGACAAGUUUUGCCCAUGUCUGGAGCAGGCAUGAGGGAAUUCUGCUUUGAGUUCAGUUAGCAAACAAACUCGGUGAAGCAGAGGUCUCACGGAAUGGUUAUCACACCAUUCAUGAUUCCUUCUUCCAGGCUGAGUUCUAUGGGAACAAGUGGUAUAAUCCAGACCCAGGGACUCUGAAUUGGCACUGACCCCUAAGGAGCAAACUGUUACAGAGAAACCUGUUAAGACCGGUGAAUAAUUGACCUGGGCUCCUGGAGACACUCAGUGAAGCAUUUCCAAGGCAUCUAACCACAAACUGUAAAUGUUAAUUGGCACUGUUGACGAGAGACUCAGAUAAGGAGAUCAAAGGCACAGGAAGUCAUAACUCCUGACAUUGCUUUUCAGACAAGUCAGGUUAGAAUCAUCUUACUCUUCAAAAUGCUUUUCACAGUGUUUCUGCCCUGAUGGGCAGGAAAAGUUUAAUUAUAGAGUGAUCAGCAAGAGGGCGGAGUCUGCCCUUCAUGAUCAAGUCUGGACAAUCAUGUGUGAGGAAUAUUUGUUUAGAAUAGGGCUGGUUAUUCUCUCUCUGGAAGCUGAAGUGCAUCUCAGCUAUCAGAUUGAACAUUAAACUAGGCAUUUUUUAGAUAAAUUUAAUCUGAUAAUUAGCCCUGUGGCUUCCCCAGCACUGAACUCAAACCCGUCUUCCUUGAGUUACUUGAUGAUGGUGUCUCAC
rnacentral:lncRNA from 1 species